rnacentral:rRNA from 1 species
AGCGAACGCUGGCGGCAGGCCUAACACAUGCAAGUCGAACGAACCUUUCGGGGUUAGUGGCGGACGGGUGAGUAACACGUGGGAACGUGCCUUUAGGUUCGGAAUAACUCAGGGAAACUUGUGCUAAUACCGAAUGUGCCCUUCGGGGGAAAGAUUAAUCGCCUUUAGAGCGGCCCGCGUCUGAUUAGCUAGUUGGUUGAGGUAAUGGCUCACCAAGGCGACGAUCAGUAGCUGGUCUGAGAGGAUGAUCAGCCACAUUGGGACUGAGACACGGCCCAAACUCCUACGGGAGGCAGCAGUGGGGAAUCUUGCGCAAGGGGCGAAAGCCUGACGCAGCCAUGCCGCGUGAAUGAUGAAGGUCUUAGGAUUGUAAAAUUCUUUCAGCGGGGAAGAUAAUGACGGUACCCGGAGAAGAAGCCCCGGCUAACUUCGUG